AUACCCUAGUAUGCAAUAGAUUAAAAAUUAGUAUAGUCGAAAAUUAAUAAUUUUGGCGGUUAAUUUUUUUUUAGAGGAGCUUGUUAUAAAUAGAAUUGGCUCUUUAAAUUUUAGUAUUAACAUAAUUUAUUCAUCUCCGUUAUCAAAAUUAAUUUAAUAAAUAUUUUUAAUAUAUCAGGUCAAGAUGUAGUUUUUAUUAAGUGUAAUUAGCUAUAUUUAUGAAAUGAAUAAAUAGCAUAAAUAUUGUAUAUUAAAUUUGAAUUGAAUUUAAUUGUAAUAAUAAUUAGAAAAUUAUUUUGAAUGGAAUAAAUUAAUGUACAUAUUGCCCGUCACUUCUAUAAUGAAUAGAAUAAGUCGUAACA
rnacentral:rRNA from 1 species